GACGAACGCUGGCGGCGUGCUUAACACAUGCCAGUCGAACGGAAAGGCCCUGCUUUUGUGGGGUGCUCGAGUGGCGAACGGGUGAGUAACACGUGAGUAACCUGCCCUUGACUUUGGGAUAACUUCAGGAAACUGGGGCUAAUACCGGAUAGGAGCUCCUGCUGCAUGGUGGGGGUUGGAAAGUUUCGGCGGUUGGGGAUGGACUCGCGGCUUAUCAGCUUGUUGGUGGGGUAGUGGCUUACCAAGGCUUUGACGGGUAGCCGGCCUGGGAGGGUGACCGGCCAAAUUGGGACUGAGAUAAGGCCCAGACUCCUACGGGAGGCAGCAGGGGGGAAUAUUGCACAAUGGGCGGCAGCCUGAUGCAGCAGCGCCGCGUGCGGGAUGACGGCCUUCGGGUUGUAAACCGCUUUCGCCUGUGACGAAGCGUGAGUGACGGUAAUGGGUAAAGAAGCACCGGCUAACUACGUG
rnacentral:rRNA from 1 species